rnacentral:rRNA from 1 species
UACAGAGGUGCCGAGCGUUAGGCGGAAUCACUGGGCUUAAAGCGUGUGUAGGCGGGUCGUUAAGUACCUUGUGAAAUCCCACGGCUCAACCGUGGAACUGCUGGGUAUACUGGCGAUCUUGAGCAGUCUAGGGGCGAGCGGAACAAACGGUGGAGCGGUGAAAUGCGUAGAUAUCGUUUGGAACGCCGACGGUGAAAACAGCUCGCUGGGGACUUGCUGACGCUGAGACACGAAAGCCAGGGGAGCGAACGGG